UUCAUAGGUGCAGGCAAGAGUGUGUGGAUAAGAUUCUUGCUUCCCAACCACAUGGUCCUGGGUUCAGUCCCACUGCAUGGCACCUUGGGCAAGUGCCUUCUGC